rnacentral:tRNA from 4 species
GCCCCUGUAGCUCAGUGGGAGAGCGCCUGCCUUACAAGCAGGAUGCCGGGAGUUCAAUUCUCUCCAGGGGCA